rnacentral:rRNA from 1 species
GUGUUGUCUGUGAAGGGCGCACGGUGGAUGCCUUGGGCAUGAUAAGCCGAUGAAGGACGUGGAAGGCCGCGAUAGUCCUCGGGGAGUUGUCAAUCGAGCGUUGAUCCGAGGGUGUCCGAAUGGGGAAACCUGGCCACAGUUGUGUGUGGUCGCUGCAUGAAUGAAUUCAUAGUUUGUGUGGUGGUAACGCGGGGAAGUGAAACAUCUUAGUACCCGUAGGAGAAGAAAAUAAUAAUGAUUCUGCUAGUAGCGGCGAGCGAACGUGGAUUUUUGGCUAAACUGCAUGCGUGUGAUACCUGGCAGGGG